AUGAUCAUGACAGGAAGCUCGAGGAGGUGGUCAGGCAGCAUGGGGCAGCACAACAUGUUGAGGUUUCGUGCCAGACAGGUGGAUCUGGUCAGUCGAUACCUCGGCGAUCUGUCCAAGAUGUUGAGACUCGGUGGGUGGUGGGACAGAAGGCACGUAUGGACCAUCGAUGUCUCUGAGAAGGUCAAGAAAUGUGCAGAGGACUGGAUGGUCUCAACCGGUGAUAUGAACACAAUGGGCUUGCGGAGGACUAAAUGGGGUGGACUGGCACGGAAGCGCUACCCUGAGCUGUUGAAGGAGUGGGAGGAUUAUAAGUUAGUUGACUUCCAUGAGAGCGUCAUCUGCUGGCAUAUCGCCACCAACUUAAUCCUUGCUAAAAUAGAUCAAUGGGGCAGCGACGAUGUGGAGGUGGUCAGUGUGCUGUCCAACUACAUGAUGUUCCUCCUUGUGGACUCACCCGACAUGCUACCCGGCCUUCCCCAAAACUGGCUGUACGAGCAAACCUGCAAACAAUUGGACACGAUAUGUGAACAAUUUACCGGUUCUCCUAGCAAGGAGAUCGCCAAUGCAAUACUGAAGCAGGGGGGGCCUACUAACUCUGAAAAUCCUCGGCUCAGUUAUGCAUGUGUCAUUGCGGAAGAUAUGCUUUAUAAGGAGGGUGUGGUUACUGCUCUGAAAAUGUUGUGGUUGGACUUCCUGGCCUACGCAGCCAACCGGUGCAACAGGGAGGCGCAUGCGAGGAAACUCGGCAGCGGCGGUGAGUUGCUGACUAUCAUGUGGCUUUAUCUGGAACACCUCCACCAAGUAAAAGAAGGCAGAAGGGGCUGA
rnacentral:rRNA from 1 species